rnacentral:rRNA from 1 species
UACGUAGGGUGCAAGCGUUAUCCGGAAUUAUUGGGCGUAAAGAGCUCGUAGGCGGUUUGUCGCGUCUGCUGUGAAAACUGGAGGCUCAACCUCCAGCCUGCAGUGGGUACGGGCAGACUAGAGUGCGGUAGGGGAGAUUGGAAUUCCUGGUGUAGCGGUGGAAUGCGCAGAUAUCAGGAGGAACACCGAUAGCGAAGGCAGAUCUCUGGGCCGUAACUGACGCUGAGGAGCGAAAGCAUGGGGAGCGAACAGG